rnacentral:pre_miRNA from 1 species
AGUGGGAUAGCUGGGUCAAAUGGUCUAUUCCCAGAUUUCCAAGGAAUCUCCAUACUGCUUUCCAUAUUGACUGCACUGAUUUGCAGUCCCACCAGCAUU